GAUGAACGCUGGCGGCGUGCCUAAUACAUGCAAGUCGAGCGAACGGACGAGAAGCUUGCUUCUCUGAUGUUAGCGGCGGACGGGUGAGUAACACGUGGAUAACCUACCUAUAAGACUGGGAUAACUUCGGGAAACCGGAGCUAAUACCGGAUGAUAUUUUGAACCGCAUGGUUCAAAGGUGAAAGACGGUCUUGCUGUCACUUAUAGAUGGAUCCGCGCUGCAUUAGCUAGUUGGUAAGGUAACGGCUUACCAAGGCAACGAUGCAUAGCCGACCUGAGAGGGUGAUCGGCCACACUGGAACUGAGACACGGUCCAGACUCCUACGGGAGGCAGCAGUAGGGAAUCUUCCGCAACGGGCGAAAGCCUGACGGAGCAACGCCGCGUGAGUGAUGAAGGUCUUCGGAUCGUAAAACUCUGUUAUUAGGGAAGAACAUAUGUGUAAGUAACUGUGCACAUCUUGACGGUACCUAAUCAGAAAGCCACGGCUAACUACGUG
rnacentral:rRNA from 1 species